rnacentral:rRNA from 1 species
AGUGAACGCUGGCGGUAGGCCUAACACAUGCAAGUCGAACGGCAGCACAGUAAGAGCUUGCUCUUACGGGUGGCGAGUGGCGGACGGGUGAGGAAUACAUCGGAAUCUACUUUUUCGUGGGGGAUAACGUAGGGAAACUUACGCUAAUACCGCAUACGACCUACGGGUGAAAGCAGGGGAUCUUCGGACCUUGCGCGAUUGAAUGAGCCGAUGUCGGAUUAGCUAGUUGGCGGGGUAAAGGCCCACCAAGGCGACGAUCCGUAGCUGGUCUGAGAGGAUGAUCAGCCACACUGGAACUGAGACACGGUCCAGACUCCUACGGGAGGCAGCAGUGGGGAAUAUUGGACAAUGGGCGCAAGCCUGAUCCAGCCAUACCGCGUGGGUGAAGAAGGCCUUCGGGUUGCAAAACCCUUUUGUUGGGAAAGAAAAGCAGCAGGUUAAUACCCCGCUGUUCUGACGGUACCCAAAGAAUAAGCACCGGCUAACUUCGUG